rnacentral:rRNA from 1 species
UACGGGGGGAGCAAGCGUUGUUCGGGUUUACUGGGCGUAAAGGGCGCGUAGGCGGCCACCGCAAGUCGACUGUGAAAUCUCCGGGCUUAACCCGGAAAGGUCAGCCGAUACUGCGGGGCUAGAGUGCAGAAGGGGCAACUGGAAUUCUCGGUGUAGCGGUGAAAUGCGUAGAUAUCGAGAGGAACACCUGCGGCGAAGGCGGGUUGCUGGGCCGACACUGACGCUGAUGCGCGAAAGCCAGGGGAGCGAACGGG